CCCCGGGCUGGCGCCCGGGGCUACACUCUGUCGCCGCUCCGCGGCU
rfam:Acidobacteria bacterium 13_1_40CM_2_56_5 13_1_40cm_2_scaffold_5558, whole genome shotgun sequence.